rnacentral:lncRNA from 1 species
AAAAAUCUACGGGGCCAACAUGUGAUAACAAUUCACUAAGAAAUAAAAGAUUACAAUGUGAUUACUGACUCCAAGAACUCAAAUCUUUCUUUUAUCUUCUUUGGAUCAUGUGCACAGCAAGGCUAGUCCACGCCAACACUCGAAUCCACGAACAACACGUCUUAAAUUUACGAACCGCUUACACUUCAAACCCACAAAGCCUCCAACACGUCAAAUCCACGACGUCUACUCGAAUCCACAAGCGCAACUCUGUUUGAAGUAAGAAGCAUAAGAUUGGUUAUGAUUUAUUGCUUAGAAGAAUCUUAAAGAUCUGUGGGAAUAGUCUCUAAGUACUUCUCAAAUUAAUUC